AUAUUGAUUUUGUACCAGUUAAGCAAAAUUAGGGUAUGAAACUUACCAAGUGAUCACUUUCAAAUUCAGAGAAAUCCUAUAAUUAACAAAAAUGGACAAUCCUGAGUCAAAUCCUGUUUUCUGAAAACAAACAAAGGUUCAAAAAAAAGGAUAGGUGCAAAGACUCGGUUGGAAGUUAUUCUAAAAAAUGCAGUUAAAUGCAUUCGUAGAGGACUCUUUACAUCAAAACUUCAAUAAGAAAUGAAGGAUAAAUG
rnacentral:ncRNA from 1 species